GAUGAACGCUGGCGGCGUGACUAAUACAUGCCAGUCGAGCGAACGGACGAGAAGCUUGCUUCUCUGAUGUUAGCGGCGGACGGGUGAGUAACACGUGGAUAACCUACCUAUAAGACUGGGAUAACUUCGGGAAACCGGAGCUAAUACCGGAUAAUAUUUUGAACCGCAUGGUUCAAAAGUGAAAGACGGUCUUGCUGUCACUUAUAGAUGGAUCCGCGCUGCAUUAGCUAGUUGGUAAGGUAACGGCUUACCAAGGCAACGAUGCAUAGCCGACCUGAGAGGGUGAUCGGCCACACUGGAACUGAGACACGGUCCAGACUCCUACGGGAGGCAGCAGUAGGGAAUCUUCCGCAAUGGGCGAAAGCCUGACGGAGCAACGCCGCGUGAGUGAUGAAGGUCUUCGGAUCGUAAAACUCUGUUAUUAGGGAAGAACAUAUGUGUAAGUAACUGUGCACAUCCUGACGGUACCUAAUCAGAAAGCCACGGCUAACUACGUG
rnacentral:rRNA from 1 species